GGUUCGGACUCUCAGGUUACCGAUCGCACUUAGACAUCUCAGUGCAUCAGCAACAAUAACAGUGGAAGGUAAAUAAGUUCGCCGAAUCAGAUCCUUCCCACCUUACGGGCGUGGCAACUGAAGAUCUCGAAGAUAAAUCAAAGUCACAUGAAAGUUAUUAUCCUAAGAAAGAUGCAGUCAUUCCAAAAGAUGGACCAACAAGACAUAUUGCUGCACAGACAUUCACAUUUCGUGAGCUUGCUGCUGCAAUGAAGAAUUUUAGGUGGGUUUGGAUGUGUUUACAAAGGUCGGCUGGAAAGCACCGGACAGGUAGAGAGCAGACAUUCACAUUUCGUGAGCUUGCUGCUGCAACGAUGAAUUUUAGGCCAGCGUGUUUGCUUGGUGAAGGUGGGUUUGGAUGUAUUUACAAAGGUCGGCUGGAAAGCACCGGACAGGUAGGUGUUACUAUGGGAGGGGAACAUUUCCUUUGGUUGAAAAGGUUGUUUUUGCUGUGGUGAAAACAUAAUGCAAGUUAAUGAAAUAAACAUAAAAGUUUUAUUUGGCAUCUUCCUGCUAUAGUAACAGGCAUUAUCAUGACAAUGGCUGGCACCAGCAUAGAAUUUACCAUUGUUACUGUAUUCAACAAUUAUUUGUUGCAUAUAUUUGUUCCUAUCGACAUUGCCCUCACAUUGAAGGGUAUUGUAUUUCUGAAGUUAUUUGAACUGAAUCAUCCUAUACACAGUGAAUUUCAUGAUCUUUUCACUGUUGUGUGGUUAGUAGGUGGUCUUGUUGGAUCAAUCGAUGAACUA